CCCCAAAGUGAGGAAUAAGCCACCGAAAGGUGGUCUAAUACUUCAUAAUAUCCAUCUCGUAUGGAUUAAAGCUUUAUGCGCUUUGGGAGGGGCCUGCGUAACAUUAGCUUGUUGGUGAGGUUAAAAGCUCACCAAGACUUCGAUGUUUAACUGGUUUGAGAGGAUGACCAGUCACACUGGGACUGAGAUACGGCCCAGACUCCUACGGGAGGCAGCAGUAAGGAAUCUUCCACAAUGGGGCAACCCUGAUGGAGCAAUACCGCGUGCAGGAUGAAGCGUUUCGGCGUGUAAACUGCUUUUAUCACCGAAGAUUAUGACUGUAGGUGAAGAAUAAGGACCGGCUAACUACGUG
rnacentral:rRNA from 1 species